UGGAGGAUUAGCUCAGCUGGGAGAGCAUCUGCCUUACAAGCAGAGGGUCGGCGGUUCGAUCCCGUCAUCCUCCACCA
rnacentral:tRNA from 1 species